rnacentral:misc_RNA from 1 species
GGCGCUCAUGAAAUCCUUCUGCAAGCAGAAUAUAUCCUUACAAGUGUUCCACCAUCAGUAACAUGGCCUGUGCAAAGUGGAGGAAACACUAGUGUGAGAUUUAAUCAACCUAGAGAUUCCCGACAAGGGAUCCAACAGGCUUAUGAAAGUAUGAGUGAUGGCUUCAGUAAAUCUGCUUCUGCUCUAAUACGCACUCCCAUCAAACGGUAUCAGCGUGGUGCUGGAAUGGGAUCUGCUUUUGCAACUGCUGUCCAAGCAGCUCCAGCAGCAGCCAUUGCCCCAGCUUCUGCCACAGCACGAGCUGUUCAUUGUGCUCUUCUAGGUGUAAGGAACAGCCUCAAUCCGGAGCGUAAGAAAGAGUCUUUGGAGAAAUAUUUGGGGACAAAUCCAUCUCAGCAGUACAUGUAGUAGGUAUGCAGUUUCAAUCCUUGGUUGUACCUUUUGGUGCAUUUCCAGCAUGGAUGUAUCUAUUUAUACAGCUGACUUUCCAUGUAACAAGUGU